ACCACCUCUACUCCUGGGGCUCAGCUCACCGAAAACCUAAGUUGGUUGAUGCCUGCCCAACUGCCUUAUCACAUCUCUCCUCCAGGAACCAAAAAUCUCUUUUCCUAUCCUAUCCCUUUUCCUCUCUCCACUUCUUAUUUCCCCUGGUUAGGACUGGGCUAGAGGCCCACUAACUCAGUCUGUUUUGCGUUUCUAUAAAGGAAUACCUAAGGUUGGUAAUUUAUAAAGAAAAAAGGUUCUGCAGAGUGUGCAAGAAGCAUGGUGCUGGCAUCUGCCUCUGGUAAAGACCUCAGGACACUUUCAAUCAUGGCAGAAGGCAAAGGGGGAGCAAAUGUGUCACAUGAUGAGAGAGGGAGGAAGAAGAGAGGGAGAGAUGCCAGGCUCUUUUAAACAACUAGCUUCCACGUGAACUAAUAGAGAGAUAACUCAAUUAUUAUCAUGAGGAUGACACCAAGCCGUCCAUGAGGGAUCCGCCUCCAUGAUUCAGACACUUCCUAUUGGGUCCUAACUCCACACUGGGGAUCAAAUUUCAACAUGAGAUUUGGAGGUGACAAAUAGCCAAACUAUAUCACCCUCCUUAUCCCCUCCUCCCAGAAAACAGAAAAAGAGGUCAGUGCAUGUCUAGAGGGAGAGGAAUUGUUGGAGCCUGGGGCCAGAGAAACUGCCUGCCUCCCUCACGUCAGUUCCCUUUUCUUGCUCCACAGACCAUGACAGGGCACCCAGAGUGACUGACGUAGCCCAAAGAUAACUGUGUUUCUGAUCGAGGAGCAAGUUGCAUUUUUCUAAGCACCAAAACCAGCUUGCCAGCAGCCAGCUCACUCAGGGACGCAUCCUUUGGACAAAUUCUUGGAACUCACAACCGAGAUGGGAGAAGAACGAAGAUUCACUUACCCCAGGACUAUUGCUUGAUUUGUUGCUGAGCAUCUGCCUGAUUUUCAGUCUUCAGCCCCCAAUUUUAUUCCCAGAGCCAGCUAGGGCCAAGACUCUUUUUCCUGGGGGGCCAAUUCCUCCCCCAUUUUUCUUCUAUCCAGGCAUCAAGCCAUAAGCCAAAUGGGGGUCAAGCAGGUGGCCCUGGCCUAGGUUCAGCCAUAGGGAGCUUCUUGUUUUCUCUUGAACUUCAAAGAAUCUCCAUUACCAGAUGAGGCAUGCUGUCAGAUCUUGGCAUAUGACACAAACAUGUCCCACUUUAGCUUUUCUGCCUGAGUCUAAAUGUCCCUUUUCCUCUGACCUACAAUGUAGAAGAUUCUUGCUAAGAACUGGAUGAGGAAGGCUUGAGGGUUGGGACAUCAACUAGAGUGCAGCUGUAUGUGUAAAGAGGAAAAAGCCCAGCUCCUGAACCUCUAAGAUAGC
rnacentral:lncRNA from 1 species